GCGCUCGUGACCUGUCGGAAGCUCUGUGGGGAAGGACCCGUCUUUUGUAAUUUCCUACGGUUUCCUAAUAAGGGUGAAAAUGCGGGCACCUCUGAACUUGCAAGCUGGGAGUUCUGAUCCAAGUAAACUACAGAAUUUGUUGUUAUUCGGCUUUAUUUGGAGGCUUUUACUUGUCGUUUUUAUGUGUUCUCUUAGUGUAUAAAUCGGAAAAAAGGGUGGCAUCCAUAAAAUGACGACUUUGUAUAUAGAGGCUGGGAUAAGCAGUACCUAGUCUGGCUUGAUGAAAUCAGUGUAAUUUUAGUUUAGAUGAAAUCUAGUUUUCGUUUGCAUUAUCCAGGAGUGGCAUCUGGAGAGGCUCGGUGUAAAAAGCGGUUAAAGAGCUUCCAGGAGUGGUUAAUCCUUUUGUAAGCUAUUUGAAGCCAAAAUGGAAAUCAAGGUAUAUUGGAAGUAAAGUAAGAAUUUAAGCUUCAAAAGGGCGCAGGUUUUGUCCCCCUUUUACAGAUGAUGAAACAGACUGGAAGGUUUCCGACGCGCCGCGGGCCGGGCGGGGCUGCGCCGGCUCCCUCCGGCCGUCGCCCUCCCGCGUCUGUUCCCCUUUCUGCAACCGUGGUUCCCCCUGACUUCUCCUCGUGUGUGUGUUCCUCUCGCGCGCCCUUCUACUUCCUCUGUUUCUUUAACUUCCCCUGUUUUCUUGAUAGUUGAGCCAGCCUUUCCUUCCUCUCCUUUAAAUGCCUCUCCCUUAAAUGGCCGUAAAGAGAAAUAGACCAACUUAAGUUGAUUUUCAUAAGGAUUAUUUUCUUGCUUUAAGGUUUGAUUUUGGGGAGGGGAGUUCAUAGAUAGAUAUAAAAUUUCCUCUAGUAAGAGCUGCCUUCCGCUUCCAUAGCUGUUCAGUGAGGGUAGGAGUCUGUGUGUGUGUGUGAAUAGUGAAGAAAAGAGUGUGUGGUGAGCUGUUUAGAAUCAGAAACAGGAGAAAAAUAAUCUAUACAUAAACAGGUGCUCUAAAUGAUGCCAAACUCAGUUCGAAAUGACAGCGGAGCUGUAGGUUCUGUAAAACUCCGGAAACACACACUAUUCCCCCUCAGUCCCUGCGCAGGCCUCAGUGAUGCCUUUCCUCAGAGGAUUUGGGGCUUUCCUGGGAUAAACCUGUAGCUUUAGCUUCCCCAGAGGAAGUAAUCACAGGGGCCCUGUGUGAAAUAAAAUAAUGCAUCAGUGUUUCCAGACUACAAGGCCACCCUGUGGGCCUCUCAGUGUGGCAGCACCUGUUCCCAGUUCUGCCAGCGGAUGCUGUUACUCUGGCUCUACACUCGGGGAACCUAAAGCCCGCAUCACUGAUGAGCCAUGUGGAGGUCCAUGCCUGGAAUCCAAACCCAUGAACCCCAGGCUGCUGAAGCGGAGCAUGCGAACUUAACUGCUACACCACAGGGCGGCCUCUCUUCUCUUCUUAUAAGGACAUCAGUCAUUGGAUUUAGCAUCUAUCUUAAUCUGAUGUCGCCGCAUGUUUUCCCUUAGAAGAGGACUUCCUCAUCUCCUAACUAGUUCAAUAUGCCGCACUCUGUCCUGGGACUGGAUGUUCCACCCGUCAAAGCGACUCGGUGUGUGUUCGCGCCAUCUAGUGGACAACUCGGAUUUAGCACCGCGGGCUUUACGUCUGACCGGGCGCCUCCCGAAAGCACGGAAAGAGCCAGAAAGCGGCACUACUGUGUCCUCGGUGUCUCUAUGCAGAAUCUACCCAAAGAGAAGUGUCUCCUCUAUUAUGUGGAAAGAAAACACACAUUUGUUUUGUAGUUUAUUUUAUUACCUAUUUUAUUUCAUCUUUAUGACUUUCUUCGUCUUGCCGUUGAAAUUUAAAAUGUUUCCUAAUAUCCUUGUGGGAGAGGAUAAAAAUAACUCAUAUAGCUGUUCUCCUUUCUUUAUAACAGUGUUUUUAUUCAGCAAGGAUUGGAUUCUAUUUCUUUCUCCUCUGGGAUGUUUCCCUAGUCCACGGCUGACCUUUCUUAGGAAUUAAUUGAAAAGGAAAUGGCGGAUACCAUUCAGCCCCUGGGCCUGGUAAACCAGUAGAGGCCAGGCUUGGAGGUCGCCGGGGCCAGCUGAGACAAGCUGCCAGGGAACUCUGCUGCUCUGUGUUAGGAAGACUUCUUGUUACCCUGAUGUGGAUGAGCUGAUCACACAUGGCCACACCUUCAGGGCAAAGGUUCCUGGAUAUCACUAGAGCUCUGCAUACCGAAAAUGGUGUAAAUUCCAGACCCUGCCCAGAUGAACUGCGUCUAAAGUUACAAAUAACAUAUAUAGUGGCCAAAUUCAUUGACCGGAACUGUUUUCACAAGAAAGAUGCUGAUCAAAACAGAGUUGAACAGAAGAUGGAGUAGAAGAAAGGGAAAAUGAAUGAUUCAGUUAUUGCUAACUUGUAGGAAAUAAAUAUUUG